GGGGGGGGGGGGUGCUAUACAUGCAAGUCGAGCGAAUGGAUUAAGAGCUUGCUCUUAUGAAGUUAGCGGCGGACGGGUGAGUAACACGUGGGUAACCUGCCCAUAAGACUGGGAUAACUCCGGGAAACCGGGGCUAAUACCGGAUAACAUUUUGAACCGCAUGGUUCGAAAUUGAAAGGCGGCUUCGGCUGUCACUUAUGGAUGGACCCGCGUCGCAUUAGCUAGUUGGUGAGGUAACGGCUCACCAAGGCAACGAUGCGUAGCCGACCUGAGAGGGUGAUCGGCCACACUGGGACUGAGACACGGCCCAGACUCCUACGGGAGGCAGCAGUAGGGAAUCUUCCGCAAUGGACGAAAGUCUGACGGAGCAACGCCGCGUGAGUGAUGAAGGCUUUCGGGUCGUAAAACUCUGUUGUUAGGGAAGAACAAGUGCUAGUUGAAUAAGCUGGCACCUUGACGGUACCUAACCAGAAAGCCACGGCUAACUACGUGCCAGCAGCCGCGGUAAUACGUAGGUGGCAAGCGUUAUCCGGAAUUAUUGGGCGUAAAGCGCGCGCAGGUGGUUUCUUAAGUCUGAUGUGAAAGCCCACGGCUCAACCGUGGAGGGUCAUUGGAAACUGGGAGACUUGAGUGCAGAAGAGGAAAGUGGAAUUCCAUGUGUAGCGGUGAAAUGCGUAGAGAUAUGGAGGAACACCAGUGGCGAAGGCGACUUUCUGGUCUGUAACUGACACUGAGGCGCGAAAGCGUGGGGAGCAAACAGGAUUAGAUCGGGGGGGGGG
rnacentral:rRNA from 1 species